CAGCAGCCGCGGUAAUACGUAGGUGGCAAGCGUUGUCCGGAAUUAUUGGGCGUAAAGCGUCUGUAGGUGGCUUUUCAAGUCCACCGUCAAAUCCCCGGGCUCAACCCUGGACAGGCAGUGGAAACUACCAAGCUGGAGUACGGUAGGGACAGAGGGAAUUUCCGGUGGAGCGGUGAAAUGCGUUGAGAUCGGAAAGAACACCAACGAUGAAAGCACUCUGCUGGGCCGACACUGAUACUGAGAGACGAAAGAUAGGGGAGCAAAUGGGAUUAGAGACCCCUGUAGUCCCUGUCUCUUAUAC
rnacentral:rRNA from 1 species